GGUUUUAAACCUGACUCAGACGUACAUAAAAAUAUAUUAAGGAAGUGGUAUUUAUCUCUGAGCAUCUUCAUGUUCCAUUCUGAAACAAGCACUAAACAUUUCCUACACACACAUCCAAACCAGUGUACAGUCAGAACGUCACCCCUUACUGCAAAUUUGAUUAUGAAAAUGUAUUCAAACCAAUAUGGAAAUUGUAUAUUGGCUUGUUUAAUUCCCACAAACAGAAACGGUGAAAGAUGUUGGUGGCGGUGAAUAUUUUUUGAAGGGCUGGGUGGCAUUCACUGUGAAGCUUUCUAAGUUUUUCUUCAUCAUUCUUUUUUUUUUUUUAUUGUCAUCUAAUCUUUUUUGAUUGACAUUCACAGCGAUGAGGCAUAAGAGAUUAUGGGGAAAUAUUCAAAGACUGCAAAAAACUCCAGCAUGAGGAGAACUGCUAAGCAAGGACUGCUACAGGAAUUAAAAAAAUAUUGAGUAAACUGAUCAUUCUCUGAUCAAUUCUUCAAACUGUCAUCAUUUCCAGGACUGGAGCGGGACUCUGACUCGCCGAAACAAACAGCAUCCUAGUGCCUAUAGGGCAAUGUGCUGUCACUAUGUACUAUAGUACUGUGACCUCAGAGCUGCCACAGGGCUCUGAAAAGGAUGAAGAUGCCACAGACCUGAGUAACAUCCUCUUCAGACGACAACAGCUGCAAAACCGUCUUCAGUUCCUACAGGAGAUCCAAAAGAAGAACAACAGAAUCGAGGGAUACCUUGCAAAUGAAGAGGGCCCUACAGAACUGGACAGAAUCGAGGAGGAGUUGAAGCUACUGGAGCAAAAAGAGAAGGAUCUUGUUCAGAAAAAUAAUCAAUGUUUGACAACACAGAGCACAGACAAAGGCAUGUUUCUACAUUAUACAUUAGAAAUAUUUAAGACACACACACAUAUGCAUAUACACACAC